rnacentral:rRNA from 1 species
CUACGGAGGGUGCAAGCGUUAAUCGGAAUUACUGGGCGUAAAGCGUACGUAGGCGGUUCGUUAAGUUAGAUGUGAAAGCCCCGGGCUUAACCUGGGAACUGCAUUUAAAACUGGCGAACUAGAGUUGAGUAGAGGGGAGUGGAAUUUCAGGUGUAGCGGUGAAAUGCGUAGAGAUCUGAAGGAACACCAGUGGCGAAGGCGGCUCCCUGGACUCAAACUGACGCUGAGGUACGAAAGCGUGGGUAGCAAACGGGAUUAGAAACCCUAGUAGUCC